CGUCAUUGAUAUCUGUGUAAAACACAUGAGUACACCACAGCGAACAAAAUUGCUGGUUUGUAAAACCUUGGAAGAGGCUUUAAGGAAAAUCCAGGAGCUGGAAAUGCAAGAUAAUUUGUGCCUGACUCUAGUACGAAGAAUUUUGGGAAGACGAUUUGGCCUAAAAAGACCUGUAGCAGUUAACAAGCUAUUAGAUGCACAAUAGCACAAAAUGACCACCACCACUAUCACCCUAAAGUGUGUGCUUGGUGUCUGUCUACACGUGCUUGCUUCUGGAAUGUUGAAGAACAAACUGUGUUGAAACGCCAACUGGAGUUGGUCAUGGACCUUUGCCGCCCUUCACCCAGAGCCUUCCACAGAGAUGGCAGAUAUAUCGCUGCCUGGACCAACAGUUGACCAUGCCGUUGAGUCCAUGAAAACAUCUACAGAAUUACAUCUGCGGCCGUGGCUAUUAAUGGUUACAUUCUGCACCACUUCCAUGUGCUGUCAGUUUGAAACGUCUCUACUCUGACAGAAGGAAGGGAAUGAAUACCCAGGAUUGUUCCUCAGGAAAAUCUCUUCAACAGGCUGUUGUCAGUUUGCAUGCUCUUUGGAUGGAAUUACCCUACCUUGGCUUGCAGAGAAUCUGUGAUAUAAAAGACCUCUUUUGUGCUGCAUUGUGUCAUUGAUUUAUUGUAUUUUAUAUGUAUUAUGCCACUAUUGUAAAAACAAAUGGGCAUAUGUUUUAGCAUAUGUUUUCAAACAGACACAUUUAUAUUUCAAACAGACACAUUUAUAUUUUUGAAUAAUUUGAAAAUACAUUUUGUAGGUUGACUUCACACCAUGAAACAUUAAUGGUAGGUUAUAUUUGACCAGAACAUGACAAGUAUUGUUUUCGGAGUUUUUUGGUCGAAGGUGAAGGUAAUGGCUAACAGUGGUUAUUCUGCACAAUGAACCUUGAAUUCUUUGACCUAGGACCAUUAAUAUUUAGUGAUUGAUAUAUCAGUCCAACUCAUAUGUGAAAGGGACAUGAUGAAAUUGAGCAAGAGCUUAUUAGCAUUGCAAAUUAUUAUUUGUUCAUUUUUAGCUCGACUAUUCGAAGAAUAGGUGGGCUAUACUAUCAUUAACAAUUCUGCGUUAAAGUUUUCAUUUUAUGUAAUAAAAUCAAGAGUUUUUAUCCAAUGGUAAUCAAACUUGGUCAGACUAUUUGUCGGCAUGUUAUCUUGAAGAUGUAUGAAUAUGGGUCAUCCCUGGUCAAAUUCUAGGUCACUAGGUCAAAUCUUAGGAAAAUCAUUCCACAUCAUAAAUUGAACAAUUUUUGUCAAAUCUUUAUGAAACUUGGUCAGAAUAUUUGUCUGCAUAAUAUCUUAAAAGUUUUAUAAUAUGGGUCAUCCCCGGUCAAAACCUAGGUCACAAGGUCAAAUUUUAGAAGAAAGAAUCCCACAGUCAUAAAAAUUCAUUAAUUUUAGUCAAAUCUUUUUUAAACUUGGUCAGAAUAUUUGUCUACAUGUUGUCUUAAUCAUUUGUGAAUAUAGGUCACCUCAGAUCAAAAACUAGGUCACUAGGUCAAAUCUUAGGAAAUACUUUCCUGAUGUCAUAAAAAAAAUCUAUGCUUACCAAAGCUAUCCAUAUCAGUUAAUAACUAAAUUCAAUUGUUAUUUUAUAAACACACAUCCCAAUCAUGAAUUUCAGAUCUAACCAUAUUUUUCAAAAAUUUAAAUUUUAAUUAACUUUAAAAAUAUUUGUGUACAUGAAAUCUUAGAUGAUAAAGUGUGUCAUCUAGGGUCAAAAACUAGGUCUCUGGGACAGAUCUUUUUGGAAAAGCUGAUGUAUUUAUAAAAUGUUCGUUUUUCCUCACACAAAUGGAAUAGUUUCUGUUGAUCAGGUUAUUUGUAUGAAUGAUAUCUCCGAUAAAUAUAAAUAUGGGUCUUUUUGGUUAAAAAUACUAGGUCAUUAGCUCAAAUCCUAGGUUUGCAAAAUUGCAUUGUCAAAUAAAAAAUCAAGCUUUAUGCGGCGUUGCCGCGUUGGCGUCUUGUUAUUUUUUUAUUUUGACAGGCACAUUUUUAUAAUCUUAACCAAAUCAAACCUUGUUUUGUCACAUUGUGAUUCUUAUUCACUUUUUUAUUUGAUUGUUUUAUUGCUUUUUACAGGCACAUAUCACACUAUUAUUGUAUUUACGUCCAAUUCCAAGAGGCGUAGUAGAGCGCACUGUUUUACGACAGCUCUUGUUAACCUGUAAAGUGAAACCUGGUUAUAAAAAUGACAUGACUGUGUCAUUGUGUUGGCAGGCCAGGAGGAGGGCAGCAUCAAAUACAUCUACAAACUUAGUAUACAAAGUAUUAUAGAAUUGCUUUCGGGGCCCAUAGGAUCAAGGUCACUAAAACAAAAAAAUAUUGAAACUUAAUCGCACAACAAAGGCUUAAUUAAUUAGGUUUGUCUGUCAAUCAUUGAAAACUUGUUGUUUUUUUUGCAUUGCAGCAUUUCAUGCUUAAUUUUUAUUUUGUCUCUUUAUUGCAUAUUACCUUUAUCAUUAUUGUAUUCAUUUCUAAGACAAAGCAGCAUAUAGUUGAGGGCACUGCCCCAUGACAGCUCUUGUAUAUCCUAAAAAGAAUACAAUAGUGAUAUACCCUGAUAUAGGUAGUUUUGGUACAUUAUCACGGUUUUAAUUUUAGCUUUACUGGCCAAAGAUCAGAAUAUCUGACGUGAUGGUAAUGUGUAGUAGUAUGUGCUUCCUAGCGCCUGUAAACAAUUUCUUGUGAACACCAUACAGUCUUUAGUUAUGAUUGUAUCUCAAUAAAACAGUAUUUAGAUAUCCAAUAGAGCUCGGUUCCUUUCGAAAACCAGUCAGAUCUGCCCAUGCAUACCUAGAUUAUGGGCCUCAAAAGUAAAAAAAAAUGCUAUUUUUAGCCAAGUCUACAUGAGCGAAGUCUAUUUUUAGACAAGUUUACAUGUAAAGUCACAAAUUCAUGUGAAAAAUUGUUCAAAUUAGGCCCCUGGGGUCAUUAUUGGCCACGCCACUGGGUUCACCGGUUUGGUAUACUAAAUUGGGAAAUGUUUGAAAAUUUUUAUGUCUGAAACAACUAUGCAGACCCUUGUUAUUUUGAAUAAGGACUAUUUUAUUGGUCUGCUACCAUGGUUGUUCAAAUUAUGCCCCUAGGGUCAAAACUGGCACUGCCCCCAGGGGUCACAAGUUUUUUAAGAAAAUAUUUUCAAAAUCUUCUUGUUUCAAACCACAAGGCUCAUAUCUUUGAUAUUUGUUGUGGAACAUUAUAUGUAGACCGUCUAGCAAAACAGUUGAAAUUAUGUGCCCUGGGCCGGGGCCACCAUCCAUUUUGUCCUUUUAAAGCUACAAAAAUGAAAAUUUGACCAAUAGUACAGUUUUGUAGCAAAUUUUAUUCUCCUCAGAUGACCUUUACUUGGCACAUAUUAGAAUACUAGUAGUUCAUGCAACUAAUCUGCUUACAACACUUUCUGUUCUCAGAUGUUAAAUGUGCAACGUUUUAAGCUAACUCAAACACAAAACGUGAACAAUAUGUUUGUUGGCUAUUACUCAUACAUACAUGCUCUGGAUCAAAAAUAACCACAUGAGCCAUGCCACUAGAGCAUAGGCACUCAUGGGCCUCUUGUUUUUUUUAGAAAAAAAGCAUACUGACCAACCCUAUUUAUUUUAGAAGUUAGCUGAAACUAAGAACUUUUUUUACCUUACUUUUAUAUUAGAUUGUGUAUUGCUAAGAUUUUUGCUUAAAGCUCCAUUUAAGGUAACUGUUCAUCUCAAAUGGAACAGCUUUUGCCUUCAAACUUUUAAAAUUUCAUUGAACCAGUGGGUUCAUCAUGAUGCACAUCUGUAAAUGUUUCUCCCUAAUAUGGGCUUUUAUGUAUGCAAACAGAACAUUGAACAAUUGGCUUUCUGUGUAAAGUAAACCCUGUCCAGAACAUUUGUCAAAUUGCUGUGUCAGCACUUGUUUGAAUGGAUUUAUUUUAUUUUCAUAUUAUGAUUUCAAAUAAAGUAUUUAAAAAUGUUGA